rnacentral:lncRNA from 1 species
CUCAAUAAUACAAGUUGCUCUCGUUUCUCUUUUCUUCUUCUUUAUUAUUAUAAUAUUUUAAGCAUUUUAUUCAACAAACUUUUGUUACUUGACGGUUCCUCUUCUUCUUCCAAUCUAUUAUAUCGUCAAUCUCCUCUGCCCUGUAUCUUUCUUCUCUUGUUCCCCAUGUAUGUUUCCUUUUUUUUUUCUCCUACAGUCCUAUUUCUUCUCUGUUUCUUUUUUUUUGUUAAGUUUUUCUGUUUUUAGAAAAAAAUUCUAACCAUGAAAGUUAACAGUUAACAUAUGAUGGAUUCUCAUACAGUCGGACUCGAUCUAGGCGGUGGUGACAUCAUCAACCGUAUCUCUGGUCCUCCUUUAUUGAUGUUUCUGUACGAUUUUUUCAAAACAAGUAAACUUUUUGGUGAUAUUUUACAUAGUUUUAGUUAUAUUUUGAUUGGAAUUAAAAAAAAAUAGUUGUGAUUAAGGGGCACCAUUUGUUGGUGUGCUUUAGGCAUCAACCACCUUCGGACCGGCCCUGUCCACCAAUUUUGGAGAUGCAUGUAAAGGUACUUAUAUUUCUCUGAAUAUCCGGAGGAACAUUCUUACCAAAGAGAAUUGUAGAUUUUUGAAAAUUAACAUAUUGUCCAGAAGCAGCUGCAUAAACUUGAAGUAGGUGAAGAAGAUGCUGGCAUUCCGUCUCCGUAGCUUGAAAAAAGAGAAGAGAGUCAUCAGCAAAAAACAUAUGUGAUCUAGAUGGACCUCUUCUACUCGCUUUGAAACCAUGAAUGGACUUAGUAUCUAUUGCAUGCAUGAGUAAGUAAAGAUGAUAGGCCUUCAAUGCAAAGCAAAUAGAGAUAUGGUGAGAGGGGAUCACCUUGGCGCAGACCUCGUUGUGGAUAUAUUGUUUCAGUAGUGAUCCAUUAAGCAACACAGAAUAGGAUACUGAUGUAAUGCAAGUCAUUACCCAUCGGCACUACUUCUCUGCAAAACCAAGACGCUUUAAUACAGCCUCAACAUAAGUCCAUUCAAUUUUGUCUAAAGCUUUAGCAAUGUCAAGCUUAAGAGCCAUGAAAGGAUGCUUUAUUUUCUUAAUACAAAGAGAAUGCAGAAGCUCGUGAGUAACAAUGAUAUUAUCCGUUAUGAGACGACCAGGGAUACAUGCAGACUGAAAUUCAGAGACAAUAGAAUGCAACCACGAUUUAAGAGGGUGUUAUUGGUUUAUUAAUUUGUAAAUCCAUAUAGGAUUUGAAAAUC